CGAACCCGGUCGUUAAGGCUGUCAGCGCCGAUGGUACUUGGGGGGCGACCCCCCGGGAGAGUAGGUCAUCGCCAAGA
rnacentral:rRNA from 1 species